GCCAGCAGGCCGGCAGAAGAACACAACCUAACUCCAGCUCACUGCAACGGCUCCAGAAUGAGCCUCUGACAAAACUGACUUUGGAGAAAGUUGGAAGAACCAGCAACAGAAUGGUGACUAAGUCACAUGGUCACUUCUGGACUCCUGAGAGGCAUCCUGUAUACAGGAGUUGUUUCCUGGACCGGGGUAAGGACAGCCAGGACUUCCUUCAGGUCUGCUUAGCCCGUCACUGAGGCUGAAGAAAGCAGUGAGAGAGAGCUGAGAGUGGAGAGGAAACUGAACCCCGACCUGACUCCAAGCCAUCACACAGCUCUGCCCCCACGGAACCAGGCAGGGUGGGGAGGCUGGUGCUGUGCUAAAAUAGAACAGCACAGGCAAUAAUAUAGGGCACAGGAGCGGGGUGAGAGGAGCAGCAAGGGGGCGAAUCUCAGAAAACCAAGGGACAUAGAGAACAGGAAAUAAAAG